CACGGAAUUAGCCGGUCCUUAUUCAUACGGUACCUGCAAUAAACCACACGUGGCAUACUUUAUCCCCGUAUAAAAGCAGUUUACAACCCAUAGGGCCGUCGUCCUGCACGCUACUUGGCUGGUUCAGGCUCGCGCCCAUUGACCAAUAUUCCUCACUGCUGCCUCCCGUAGGAGUUUGGACCGUGUCUCAGUUCCAAUGUGGGGGACCUUCCUCUCAGAACCCCUACUGAUCGUCGCCCCGGUGGGCCCGUUACCCCGCCGGCAAGCUAAUCAGACGCAUCCCCAUCCUUUACCGGCCGAAGCCUUUGGUCAUGAAAAUAUGCAUCAACAUGACAACAUACGGUAUUAAUCCGCCUUUCGACGGGCUGUCCCAUAGUAAAGGGCAGGUUGGAUACGCGUUACUCACCCGUGCGCCGGUCGCCAUCAGAUGUCCCCGAAAGGACAUCCAUGCUGCCCCGCGACUUGCAUGUGUUAAGCCUGUAGCUAGCGUUCAUCCUGAGCCAGGAUCAAACU
rnacentral:rRNA from 1 species